rnacentral:misc_RNA from 1 species
UGUCACUCCACCCGAUCGAGUCAAUUCAUUAUCGAUGUAAAUCAGGGCCCGAUAGGUACACUUCACAUCGCAAUCGGUUUUAAUUGCAAUUUGUCCUUCGUCCAACACUUUAUUUUAAAAUUCCUUGGUAGUAGGUCGGAUUGCAAUAGAUUUACAUUUCUGGAUUAGUGUAUAAUGUUCACAGUGGAUGCAGGCGAAGGAUCAUCAGUUGCAAACGAGACUCCAUUGAAAAGCCACACCCUUUUGUUCGAGCUGCUCGCGGCCCAUGAGUGAAUACCAAAAGCUACG